rfam:Podiceps cristatus contig128198, whole genome shotgun sequence.
UCUUAAGUUCAUGGUUCAACACCAUGGAUCUCCAGGUGGGUCAAGAUUAUAGAGAUACACCAACCUGGAGGACUCCAUGCUGUUGAGCUGUUCACAA